rnacentral:rRNA from 1 species
GAUGAACGCUGGCGGCGUGCCUAAUACAUGCAAGUCGAGCGAACGGACGAGAAGCUUGCUUCUCUGAUGUUAGCGGCGGACGGGUGAGUAACACGUGGAUAACCUACCUAUAAGACUGGGAUAACUUCGGGAAACCGGAGCUAAUACCGGAUAAUAUUUUGAACCGCAUGGUUCAAAAGUGAAAGACGGUCUUGCUGUCACUUAUAGAUGGAUCCGCGCUGCAUUAGCUAGUUGGUAAGGUAACGGCUUACCAAGGCAACGAUGCAUAGCCGACCUGAGAGGGUGAUCGGCCAAACUGGAACUGGGACACGGUCCAGACCCCCAGGGGGGGCAGCAGUAGGGAAUUUUCCGCAAUGGGCGAAAGCCUGACGGAGCAACGCCGGGUGAGUGAUGAAGGUCUUCGGAUCGUAAAACUUUUUUAUUAGGGAAAAAAAUAUGUGAAAGUAAAUGUGCAAAUUUUGACGGUACCUAAUCAAAAAGCCACGGCUAACUACGU